rnacentral:rRNA from 1 species
AUGAACGCUGGCGGCGUGCCUAAUACAUGCAAGUCGAGCGAACAGACGAGGAGCUUGCUCCUCUGACGUUAGCGGCGGCCGGGUGAGUAACACGUGGAUAACCUACCUAUAAGACUGGGAUAACUUCGGGAAACCGGAGCUAAUACCGGAUAAUAUAUUGAACCGCAUGGUUCCAUAGUUAAAGACGGUUUUGCUGUCACUUAUAGCUGGAUCCGCGCCGCAUUAGCUAGUUGGUAAGGUAACGGCUUACCAAGGCGACGAUGCGUAGCCGACCUGAGAGGGUGAUCGGCCACACUGGCACUGAGACACGGUCCAGACUCCUACGGGAGGCAGCAGUAGGGAAUCUUCCGCAAUGGGCGAAAGCCUGACGGAGCAACGCCGCGUGAGUGAUGAAGGUCUUCGGAUCGUAAAACUCUGUUAUUAGGGAAGAACAAAUGUGUAAGUAACUAUGCACGUCUUGACGGUACCUAAUCAGAAAGCCACGGCUAACUACGUG